UCUCUUCACAAUUGAUUGUCAUUGACUUCACAAUCGAUUAUUUUGAGCGUUGAAAAACUUUGAUGGACAUUGCCUCAUCACAAUAGAUUGUCAUAAGGUUCACAAUCGAUUGUCAUGCAGGUUUGAAAAAACUGAUGCUCACUGUCUUAACACAAUCGAUUGUCAUUAGUUCACAAUCGAUUGUCAUGCAGUCUUGGCUUAACAUAAUCGAUUAUCAUAAGUACA
rnacentral:lncRNA from 1 species